rnacentral:rRNA from 2 species
CAAAGGGCUCACGGAGGAUACCUAGGCACACAGAGGCGAUGAAGGACGUGGUUACCUGCGAUAAGUCUCGGGGAGUUGGAAGCACACUUUGAUCCGGGAAUUUCCGAAUGGGGCAACCCCUUGAACGACCAACUGAAUAUAUAGGUUGGUGCGAGCUAACCCAGCGAACUGAAACAUCUUAGUAGCUGGAGGAAGAGAAAGUAAAUAACGACUCCCUCAGUAGCGGCGAGCGAACGGGGAAUAGCCCAAACCGAUAGUCUUGACUAUCGGGGUUGUGGGACAGCAAUAUGGAUCAACAAUUCUAGAAGAAACGUUUGAAUGGCGUGCCAUAGAGGGUGAAAGCCCCGUAAUUGAAAGAUGAGUUGACCUAGCUGUAUCCCGAGUAGCACGGAGCACGUGGAAUUCCGUGUGAAUCUGCGAGGACCACCUCGUAAGGCUAAGUACUACUGUGUGACCGAUAGUGAAACAGUACCGCGAGGGAAAGGUGAAAAGAACCCCGGGAGGGGAGUGAAAUAGAACAUGAAACCGUGAGCUUACAAGCAAUGGGAGCCCGACUAAUCGGGUGACCGUGUGCCUGUUGAAGAAUGAGCCGGCGACUUAUAGGCACUGGCGGGUUAAACCGGAAAUGGUGGAGCCACAGCGAAAGCGAGUCUUAAUAGGGCGUUUGUCAGUGUUUAUAGACCCGAACCCUGGUGAUCUAACCAUGGCCAGGAUGAAGCUUGGGUGAUACCAAGUGGAGGUCCGAACCGACUGAAGUUGAAAAUUCAGCGGAUGAGCUGUGGUUAGGGGUGAAAUGCCAAUCGAACCAGGAGCUAGCUGGUUCUCCCCGAAAUACGUUGAGGCGUAGCGUCUAGUGCUCCAGCAGGGGGGUAAAGCAACCAUUUCGGUGCGGGCUGCGAAAGCGGUACCAAAUCGAUAUGAACUCUGAAUACCCUGUGUGUAACUAGGCAGUCAGACUGUGGGGGAUAAGCUCCAUAGUCAAGAGGGAAACAGCCCAGACCGCCAGCUAAGGUCCCAAAAUUAACGCUAAGUGAUAAAGGAGGUGGGAUUGCCCAGACAACCAGGAGGUUUGCCUAGAAGCAGCCAUCCUCAAAGGAGUGCGUAAUAGCUCACUGGUCGAGCGAUCCUGCGCCGAAAAUGAAUGGGGCUAAGCGUUAUACCGAAGCUGCGGAUAAAUUUAUUUAUGGUAGGGGAGCGUUCUAUGUUGGGUGAAGCGUUAGCGUAAGCGGACGUGGACGGCAUAGAAGUGAGAAUGUCGGCUUGAGUAGCGAAAACAUGGGUGAGAAUCCCAUGCCCCGAAACCCUAAGGGUUCCUCCGGCAGGCUCGUCCGCGGAGGGUUAGUCUGGACCUAAGGCGAGGCCGAAAGGCGUAGUCGAUGGAUAACAGGUCAAUAUUCCUGUACCAGUUAUGUUUUGGGAAGGGGGACGGAGAAGGCUAGCCAGGCCAGAUGUUGGUUACUGGUUCAAGCGUUCAAGGCUUUGAGAGAUGGAGAAAACAUCUUGAGCUGAGGCGUGAGUACGAGCUGCUACGGCAGCGAAGUUGGUGAUGUCAUGCUUCCAAGAAAAGCCCUAUACCCGUUAAGACAUAAAUGCCAGUACCCGAAACCGACACAGGUGGGGUGGUAGAGAAUACCGAGGGGCGCGAGAUAACUCUCUCUAAGGAACUCGGCAAAAUGGCCCCGUAACUUCGGGAGAAGGGGUGCCAGCGAGAGCUGGUCGCAGUGAAGAGGCGCAAGCGACUGUUUACCAAAAACACAGGUCUCCGCUAAGUCGCAAGACGAUGUAUGGGGGCUGACACCUGCCCAGUGCCGGAAGGUUAAGGAAGCUGGUUAGCUUUUAGCAAAGCUAGCGACUGAAGCCCCGGUGAACGGCGGCCGUAACUAUAACGGUCCUAAGGUAGCGAAAUUCCUUGUCGGGUAAGUUCCGACCCGCACGAAAGGUGUAACGAUUUGCGCGCUGUCUCGGAGAGAGGCUCGGCGAAAUAGAAUUGUCUGUGAAGAUGCGGACUACAUACACCCGGACAGAAAGACCCUAUGAAGCUUUACUGUAGUUUGAUAUUGUGCUCGGGCUCUAAUUGCGCAGAAUAGGUGGGAGACGUUGAAAUAGUGCUUGUGGGCAUUAUUGAGUCAUCGGUGAGAUACCACUCUAUUAGAGCUAGGGUUCUAACGCUUACCCGUUAUCCGGGAAGCGGACAGUAUCUGAUGGGCAGUUUGACUGGGGCGGUCGCCUCCUAAAAGGUAACGGAGGCGCACAAAGGUUCCCUCAGGCUGGUUGGAAAUCAGUCGUUGAGUGCAAAAGCAGAAGGGAGCUUGACUGUGAGACCUACAAGUCGAACAGGGACGAAAGUCGGUUUUAGUGAUCCGACGGUUCUGCGUGGAAGGGCCGUCGCUCAACGGAUAAAAGUUACUCUAGGGAUAACAGGCUGAUCUCCCCCAAGAGUUCACAUCGACGGGGAGGUUUGGCACCUCGAUGUCGGCUCAUCGCAACCUGGGGCUGAAGUCGGUCCCAAGGGUUGGGCUGUUCGCCCAUUAAAGCGGUACGCGAGCUGGGUUCAGAACGUCGUGAGACAGUUCGGUCCAUAUCCGGUGUAUGCGCAGGAAUAUUGAGAGGAUUUCUCCCUAGUACGAGAGGACCGGGAGGAACGCACCUCUGGUGUGCCAGUUAUCGUGCCAACGGUAAACGCUGGGUAGCCAUGUGCGGAGUGGAUAACCGCUGAAAGCAUCUAAGUGGGAAGCCCACCUCAAGAUGAGUAUUGCCAUGGCUUAAGCCAGUAAGGUCACGGGAAGAACACCCGUUGAUAGGCUCUACGUGGAAGCUUGGUAACAAGUGCAGCGGAGGAGUACUAAUAGACCGAGGGCUUGACCA